rnacentral:rRNA from 1 species
GACGAACGCUGGCGGCGUGCUUAACACAUGCAAGUCGAACGGAAAGGCCCUGCUUUUGUGGGGUGCUCGAGUGGCGAACGGGUGAGUAACACGUGAGUAACCUGCCCUUGACUUUGUGAUAACUUCAGGAAACUGGGGCUAAUACCGGAUAGGAGCUCCUGCUGCAUGGUGGGGGUUGGAAAGUUUCGGCGGUUGGGGAUGGACUCGCGGCUUAUCCGCUUGUUGGUGGGGUAGUGGCUUACCAAGGGUUUGACGGGUAGCCGGCCUGAGAGGGUGACCGGCCACAUUGGGACCGAGAUACGGCCCAGACUCCUACGGGAGGCAGCAGUGGGGAAUAUUGCACAAUGGGCGGAAGCCUGAUGCAGCAACGCCGCGUGCGGGAUGACGGCCUUCGGGUUGUAAACCGCUUUCGCCUGUGACGAAGCGUGAGUGACGGUAAUGGGUAAAGAAGCACCGGCUAACUACGUG